UCACCCCCAACCAGUGACCAAAGACUUGACCACUCAAAGUCCAGCUCUCCAGAACACUGCUCGACAUGGACACCGGUGUGAUUGAAGGUGGAUUAAAUGUCACUCUCACCAUCCGGCUACUUAUGCAUGGAAAGGAAGUUGGCAGUAUCAUCGGAAAGGUAAGACAAUUUCACUUCAACUUCAAUUACCAUUUAGUAAUUCUGGAUUGAAGUAGCAGUUGGAGCUCAUGCUUGACUUUUCCUUUACAGAAAGGAGAAUCAGUUAAGAAGAUGCGCGAGGAGAGUGGUGCACGUAUCAACAUCUCAGAAGGGAAUUGUCCUGAGAGAAUUAUCACUUUGGCUGGACCCACUAAUGCCAUCUUCAAAGCCUUUGCUAUGAUCAUUGACAAACUGGAAGAGGUUUGUUGUCUCCCACUCCCUCAUUCUUCAUUUUUAAGUGCUUCCAGAGAG
rnacentral:sRNA from 1 species